CGCACUUAGGUACAAACUACCCUUUUCUGAAGCAAUGCCAGGCUAAAAAUACACGUAAGCACUUAUGCAGACACAUAACUAGCCAAGGAUUACAAGGUAUAUAUUAAUCAAAUCACUCAGUCAACUAAAGUAUAAUAUUGAAAAUUGGGGUGAUAUAGUUUCAACACCCUUUUGCCUAGGACUGGCAUUUAGACAGUGGACAAAUACGAGUGGCCUCGUAACAAAUCUAUUAUAAGCUCUGAUACCAUAUUUGAAUUUGGGCUUUACGCCUCAUGUAGCCCCAAAAGCUAGCUCAAGAGAUGAGGAUUGGCCAAGUCUUGUAAGGGCUAUUUUGACCAUGUCUCAAAUUGGUGUGUCUCUCUCGCGUCCCAAUCUGGGGUGUGAACAAAUGUGGGUGGUCCAAUAAUCACGGGUUCUCAUGACUAGGAUUGGGAAUCUAGAGUGUGGACAAGUACUAGUCGUCUGAUGGCAGAUCUAAGAUAGACUCUUAUACCAAUUUAGAAUUUUGACUUUAAGCUUAACUGAACUCCAACAGCUAGAUUAACAUGUGGUGGAAACAUAGAGACACACAAAAAGCCAUGUGGUGGAAACAUGUUCAUAUGAUACAAUGUGAUCUAGUUGUGAAUCCAAAUAAUCAGAUGGGAUGAAUGUGAGAGAGAUGCACCAGCAGGGAGUAUGCUUCCUUUGCAGGUGGGUACCGAGUAAGGAGGACAGCUGGACGUGGGAGGAGGGUGCUGUUGUUUAAAGUUGCUUCACAGGGAGUGUACCAAACAUGUAGUAACAACCACAUUCAAAUGGAGGUAGCUGGGUUGAAUGGCAGUGGUGGCAGGGGUACAUGUUGCUGGGAGAGGUUUUUGUUUUCUUUGAUACAGCUGGGAUAAGUUUUGGGAGAAAAGAUAAUGGGGUAAAUAUUAUGAUUUCAAAACAAUUAGGGGCUUAAAAUAAUUUUAGAUUUUCUAUAGUAUCCCUUUGUAUUGUGCACCACCCUAAACCAUCUAUUAUGGUGUUCCGCAGUAGACAAUGUCCAUGGAGGAUAAAUAAUCCUAAACUUAUAGAGUAAAGAUUCUUUCUGUUAAAUUGCACAUAAAUUUUAAUUUUAUUGCAUAUUGUUUAUGAUAUGCAUGUUUUAUUUGUAUUCAGUUUAUCGGGUUCUGUCGAGGGUGCUCCCAAAAUCUUUACAAGCCCAGGGGAUAUUUAUUGGAUUGUUGCUUAUAGUUAAGCCUAGCAUAUAGCUGGAUUAUGAUUGUGUUUUUUGCAAAUCGUGUUAAGUAAUGCUAUGGAGGUUGAAUAUUCAUUCUUGUCCUGAUUAACUAGUUUAAUACACUAACGCUCCUUUAUUAUUGAGUUCAGGCUUUUUUUUCUUUCUUUCUCCUGUUUUAUCAAUAUUUAUUCACAUAUACCUCUGUAGGCUUGUUCCAUACUCUUUAUUCUAUUCAGCUAAUACUUAUUCUAAAUAUUGAAUUCUGUAGAUUUAUGAACGGUUUAAUAUAGACUCAAUUGUAGAUGCUGAUGAUGCCCGUUUUGAUUAUUUUGUUAAAAAGGUAUGUAUUCUAGAAUUGUGGUUUUGAAAAUCUAUUGUUGAGUUCAAGUAAUUUUAGUUGUCC
rnacentral:lncRNA from 1 species